rnacentral:rRNA from 1 species
AAAGGAAUAGACGGGGACCCGCACAAGCAGCGGAGCAUGUGGUUUAAUUCGAAGCAACGCGAAGAACCUUACCAAGGCUUGACAUCCCCUUGACCGGCACAGAGAUGUGCCCUCUCUUUCGGGAGCAAGGGUGACAGGUGGUGCAUGGUUGUCGUCAGCUCGUGUCGUGAGAUGUUGGGUUAAGUCCCGCAACGAGCGCAACCCUUAUUCUUAGUUGCCAGCAUUUAGGGUGGGCACUCUAAGGAGACUGCCGAUGAUAAAUCGGAGGAAGGUGGGGAUGACGUCAAAUCAUCAUGCCCCUUAUGUCUUGGGCUACACACGUGCUACAAUGGUCGGUACAAAGGGCAGCGAAGGAGUGAUCCGGAGCGAAUCCUCAUAAACCGAUCCCAGUUCGGAUUGUAGGCUGCAACUCGCCUACAUGAAGUCGGAGUUGCUAGUAAUCGCGAAUCAGAACGUCGCGGUGAAUGCGUUCCCGGGUCUUGUACACACCGCCCGU